GACGAACGCUGGCGGCGUGCCUAACACAUGCAAGUCGCACGGGGUAGCAAUACCCAGUGGCGAACGGGUGCGUAACACGUGAGGAACAUACCUAUCGGCGGGGGAUAGCCGGCCCAACGGCCGGGUAAUACCGCGUACGCUCUCCGGGGGGCAUCUCCUGGGGAGGAAAGCAGCAAUGCACCGAUAGAGUGCCUCGCGGCCUAUCAGCUAGUUGGUGAGGUAAUGGCUCACCAAGGCGACGACGGGUAGCUGGUCUGAGAGGAUGAUCAGCCACAUUGGGACUGAGACACGGCCCAGACUCCUACGGGAGGCAGCAGUGGGGAAUCUUGCGCAAUGGGCGAAAGCCUGACGCAGCGACGCCGCGUGUGGGAUGAAGGCCUUCGGGUCGUAAACCACUGUCGCGAGGGACGAAUACAUUGACGGUACCUCGAAAGGAAGCACCGGCUAACUCUGUGCCAGCAGCCGCGGUAAUACAGAGGGUGCGAGCGGUUG
rnacentral:rRNA from 1 species